GGGGCAUUAGCUCAGUUGGCUAGAGCGUUUGCUUCGCAUGCAAAAGGUCGCGGGUUCGACUCCCGCAUGCUCCA
rnacentral:tRNA from 2 species